CAGCAGCCGCGGUAUACGUAGGUGGCAAUGCGUUGUCCGGAUUUAUUGGGCGUAAAGCGAGCGCAGGCGGAAAAAUAAGUCUAAUGUGAAAGCCCUCGGCUUAACCGAGGAACUGCAUCGGAAACUGUUUUUCUUGAGUGCAGAAGAGGAGAGUGGAACUCCAUGUGUAGCGGUGGAAUGCGUAGAUAUAUGGAAGAACACCAGUGGCGAAGGCGGCUCUCUGGUCUGCAACUGACGCUGAGGCUCGAAAGCAUGGGUAGCGAACAGGAUUAGAUACCCUGGUAGUCCAUGCCGUAAACGAUGAGUGCUAAGUGUUGGGAGGUUUCCGCCUCUCAGUGCUGCAGCUAACGCAUUAAGCACUCCGCCUGGGGAGUACGACCGCAAGGUUGAAACUCAAAGGAAUUGACGGGGGCCCGCACAAGCGGUGGAGCAUGUGGUUUAAUUCGACGCAACGCGAAGAACCUUACCAGGUCUUGACAUCUAGUGCAAUCUGUAGAGAUACGGAGUUCCCUUCGGGGACGCUAAGACAGGUGGUGCAUGGCUGUCGUCAGCUCGUGUCGUGAGAUGUUGGGUUAAGUCCCGCAACGAGCGCAACCCUUGUUAUUAGUUGCCAGCAUUAAGUUGGGCACUCUAAUGAGACUGCUGGUGACAAACCGGAGGAAGGUGGGGAUGACGUCAAGUCAUCAUGCCCCUUAUGACCUGGGCUACACACGUGCUACAAUGGGCAGUACAACGAGAAGCAAGCCUGCGAAGGCAAGCGAAUCUCUGAAAGCUGUUCUCAGUUCGGACUGCAGUCUGCAACUCGACUGCACGAAGCUGGAAUCGCUAGUA
rnacentral:rRNA from 1 species